rnacentral:rRNA from 1 species
CGGAAUAUUUUUGACAAUGGGGCGAAAGCCUGAUCCAGCCAUGCCGCGUGAGUGAUGAAGGCCUUCGGGUUGUAAACCUCUUUUUCCAGGGACGAAAAUUUCGGUUCCGGGAGAAUAAGCCCCGGCUAACUUCGUGCCAGCAGCCGCAGUAAU